rnacentral:rRNA from 1 species
UGGGUGGUGCCGGUGCGUGGCGGCCCGGCGAGGAGGAGGAGGAGGAAGCGGGUUCCAGCGGUCGGAAGGAAGGAGGAAAGGGCUCGUCACGAAGAGGUGGCCAUUCGCUGACGAGAAGUAGGAACGGAACGCAGGAGAAAACGAUCUAGGUACCGGUACCUCCAUUCUACGUCGCCCGUUCCGACGGAGUAGCUGUAGUUCGAAGCACCACUACUACGACCCGUACCUGCUUGUCGUUCAUCGUCGUAGUGGUGGUAACGCCCUUCGAGCCACCACCGCUCUAGAUAAGUAACUCCGUAGUGGUGGUGAGGAGGCUGUUCGUGCGGCGACCAACUGUCGAGAAGGAGUAGAAGAUUAAGUUAAAAAGAUCCAUCUUCUCUACGUAGAGGAACAAAAAAAUUUGUUCAGAUAAUAAAUUAGUUAGAGAACUCUACGUAGACGAAAGCACACACUAACACAGAAGACACACCUAAAAGACGUCGUGUGUAUCUUUCUUUCUAGCUAGAUUAAAACAAAGGAGAUAACGUCAAAAGCUGAUCACUGACCAGAAAAAAAGACACAUUAAAAGGAGUCCUUUUAACUAACCAGAAUCACACAUUAAAAAACAUUAGAAAUCGCUAUGAAACUAACUUCUUUACUCCUGGAAACACGACCGAUACAAACCAAAUGACAUAAAUAAUAUCGGAGUUUAAAACAUCUUAGGUACCUGUACUGUAUCUUGAGAAACCUGGGUGACAUGUUUGAAAGAAGAUUCUUUACUUCUUGAAAAAGGUCAGGGGUUGUGAUGAUUUAUUUAAUCGUGAAAAAAUCGUGAAAUACCCUUCUAUGUUUCCUGAAAGAUUCUUUACUUUCAUAAAUAGAGUUAUCUUAAUACUUCAAGAAGUUAGGAUAGUUACUUCAGGAGCCUACCAGUAGUAUUUCAGGAAAACACCCUAAAAGUAUAGUAUAUAUAGGAACCUUCUUGAAAC